rnacentral:misc_RNA from 1 species
UACAGAGACUGCAAGCGUUAUUCGGAUUCACUGGGCGUAAAGGGUGCGCAGGCGGCCGGGUGUGUCAGGUGUGAAAGCUCGAGGCUUAACCUCGAAAUUGCGCCUGAAACUAUUCGGCUAGAGUAUCGGAGAGGGAAGCGGAAUUCUUGGUGUAGCAGUGAAAUGCGUAGAUAUCAAGAGGAACACCAGAGGCGAAGGCGGCUUCCUGGACGAUUACUGACGCUCAGGCACGAAAGCAUGGGUAGCGAAAGGG